AGUCCUGUGGAAACAUGAAGGGUGAAGAGUGGUCCGAUCAAUAUUGAUAACAUUUUAUAAAAAAAGAAAUAAAAUCCCAGGAAAAUUAUCAAGAUUUCUGCCAGUUUAUCUAAUCCUGAAGGAAGGUAUGUCCACUGGAAAAAUAUUAACUGCAUCAAACUAAGGCAAAGAAAGACAAAUAAUGCUUAUUUAAUGUUACAGUCCACUGGAGAGAGAGUUACAGUGGGGGACAACUGACCCCCACAGGAGUUCUCCAAAGAAAAGCAAUGGCUUCCCUUAGUGCAGGGAUACUGAAGCAGCACAUCUUCUGUUCGCUGGUGGGAAAGGGAGGCUGCUU